GUUGUAAUCUGUAGAGGGUGUUUCGGGUGCGGUCUGGUUUAAGUUCCUUGGAACAGGGCGUCAUAGAGGGUGAGAACCCCGUCUGCAACCAGUGGCUAGCCUAUGUGAAACCCCUUCGACGAGUCGAGUUGUUUGGGAAUGCAGCUCCAAAUGGGUGGUAAAUUUCAUCUAAAGCUAAAUAUUGGCCGGAGACCGAUAGCGCACAAGUAGAGUGAUCGAAAGAUGAAAAGCACUUUGGAAAGAGAGUUAAAUAGUACGUGAAAUUGUUGAAAGGGAAGCGCUUGCGACCAGACCUGCGCGUAGGUGAUUAGUUAGUAUCCUUACUAGUGCACUCACCUAUAGCCAGGCCAGCAUCGGUUUCGGCGGCGGGACAAAAGCGUGGAGAAUGUAACUCUCUCUUGGGGGAGUACUUAUAGCUCGUCAUGAAAUGCCGCCAGCUGAGACCGAGGACCGCGCUUUAGCUAGGAUGCUGGCAUAAUGGUUGCAAGCGACCCGUCUUGAAACACGGACCAAGGAGUCUAACAUCUAUGCGAGUGUUUGGGUGUCAAACCCAGGCGCGGAAUGAAAGUGAACGGAGGUGGGAACCCUUAAAAGGGCUGCACCAUCGACCGAUCCGGAUGUCUUCGGAUGGAUUUGAGUAUGAGCAUAGCUGUUGGGACCCGAAAGAUGGUGAACUAUGCCUGAACAGGGUGAAGCCAGAGGAAACUCUGGUGGAAGCUCGCAGCGGUUCU
rnacentral:rRNA from 1 species